GGAGUCAUAGCUCAAUGGUACAGCUCCUGCUUUGCAUGCAGAAGAUUCCAGGUUCAAUCCCAGGCAUCUCCA